UACCAAACUGCAAGAUAUUUAAUCCAAGACUUAAAGAGUGGGAAAAGAAAGCAAAAGAAUUUUUCCCUGAACCCCCCAUGAGCCUAUUUGCCUACUUGUGAAGGUCAGGUUAAAAAUACCAGCCUUUUCAGGCAGGGUGUACUCAGGGGAAAGCCUUUCACUCAGUAUGCUCUCAGAGAAAGGUCCUUGCAUUUAACGUUUUUCUUCGCUGCGGUUGUCUCUAGUCCCUCCAUUUUCUCUGUCCAGACCUCUACAGUUGCCCUUUAGGCACAAUUUUGCAUGAGAUUUAUUUUCCAGCUGCUGGCCCCUGACAGACCUCCUGCUCCAUGGCAGAAGUUAAACAGUCUGCCUCGGCAAAUCUUAUUCCACAUAGGACUGAAAGCACUAAUCCCCACAGCCGUGGAAAAGACACCAAGGAGGUCAGCUGCAUGUGCACAGAGUCAGCAAGAACAGGUGCAUUCGUUGACAGUGGUAUGUAAAUGCUGCUGAUGGACACCACAGUCCACAUCCUCAAAGGUAUAACAUCUCCAGUUCCUGGGAUUUAGGUGAUCAGAUCCCUUAUGUCCUCUGGGCAUUUCAGCCAAAUGUUACUGAGCAGAAACGAACCUCUGUGCCGUACAUUUUUGUUAUGUCUGCCAUGUUAAAUGACAGUGUUAAAAUGCAUACCAAGAAAUGUUCAUAAAGGGAAGGAGAAUUUCUUAAGUGCAAAUAAUGGUACACAGACAUCAUGCCUAGAGAUAAUCAUGCUUCUGUAAGUCUGCGUGCACUUUCUGUUACGGCUGCAGGGCCCCAGGGCCUUGGGCCCCAGCCUGAGGUGACGCUCAUGGAAGAGGGCAUGAGGAGCUGCUGGGCACAAGGGGACAAACUGCUGGACUCAACCACACCAGAGCGAGGAGAAAGCAGCUGGAAAGAAAAGGAAUCAGAAGGAGAAAUAAAGUGAGGAGAAAACAAGGAUCACAGCAAGAUACAGGUAGGAGGGGCUUUAGAUGGCCAGCUAAUCCAUCCAGCUGUCCUGAGGUCAGUCAAAUAGGCCAUCUGCUACCUUUUAUUAGAUACUGAGCUCCCAGGAACUCCUGUGCUGCUAUUUAUCUCAGGUUUGCUCUGCUUAGCUUGUGUAUUUCCAGACUGAAUUUCAUCUUAAUUCUUAUUUGUAUUCCUAACCUUCCUAAAUCCUGAAGGAAUACUUAUUACAUAGUUCUCAUAUAUUUAUGAUUAUGGCUGUAUCACCUCUCAGUUCAGACUCCUUGAUUAAUGUAUUUCCUACCUAUCCUGCUAGGUAAUCAAGGAUGUUAAAUUAAACUAGACAGAACACCCACUGCUUCUGGAGUAAUCUGUGCACCUGGGCUUGAUCCCUUACAGUUUAGUGUUCCCUUUUGUUU
rnacentral:lncRNA from 1 species